ACUAGCUCGGCGGCUGCGCUCUGUAGCUGGCUGGCUGGCUGGCUCAGUGUUCGCCCGACCUCCAAGGAGUCAGCAUCUCAGCCGUUACUUUCUUCCGCCACAAACCAGGCUCCAUCGUCCAACCCCAGCGGCGGCCAUGGCGAAAGGCAAAGGAGGCGGUGGCGGGAAAGGUGAAGACAAGAAGGCGGGCGGCGCCGCCAAGGGCGGGGAGAAGCCUGCCGGGGGCGGAGCCAAGGGAGGCGGUGAGAAGUCCGGAGGCAAGAAGGGCGGCAAGAAGUGAUGGUCGGCGGACAUCCGGUGACGCCCGGCAGCCGUGACGUCACCGGGUCGCCGCGCCAGCCUGCCCCGUCGUCCUCUUCGUCGUCGUCGUCGUCUUCUUCAGCGCCGCGUCAUUCCUGCGGCCGCGGCCGCGGCUGGCGGUUCCGCCGGCCGCCGCGCCUUCUCCACAGCGCUGGCGGCGGCCAGGUGACCAACAUCCCUCCGCUCCCCUCCACAUUUCCCUUCCCCUCCACCUCCUACACACCCUACCACCCGCCACUGGCUGUAGCCUCGUGUACCUACCCGUCUCUCCCCGACAGCACACAGUAAAAAAAAAUAAUACUUUGUACGUGCCACGAAAUUAUUAUUUUCUGGAAGCUAGUCGACAAAUAAAAUUUUCUCUUGACAGUACAAAAAAAAAUUGUACAUCUUCGGACACAUUUUUUGUUUGUACUGUAUCUCCACUAAAAACUAACUUUAAAUUUCCCCACAUUAAAGUAUGUACAGUGUCUGAAUUCGCCUUAAGUAUGUUUUUACACGUUACUUUUAGCCCCUAACUGGAAUAUUGAAAUACGGGGUUAUGCAAGUAUUCCGUAAUUCUAGUUAAAAGGAACGUCGCCAUUUUGAAAACCGAUUUUACGUCGUAUUUGAAAGAACUAAAUUGAUAAAAUACUCGCAAAAAAUAUGUUAAAUUUAUAAAUUUCUUUGAAGGAUUAACAUACGUAAUGGAAUAUAUAUAUACGGAUUUCUCAACCAAAAAAUUGCACUUGACACCAAUCGUAACUUACGAAACAAAGGUGUAAAAUUAAGUAAAAUGCCAUAAAUUCAUGCGUUUGUACUACUGUAAAAUUGUACUAUUUUCAGCUUUUAAAAACUGAUUGAAUUAAAUUUAUUUACCGAUAAAAUUAAUGUCAAUAACCAUAUUAUUUCUAGUACACCAAGACAAGUGAAGUAUCAGAAGUUAAAGGACAUAACAGUGUUCUUGAAUUUGGUCACGACCUAAAUAUAAUUUACUCCUCUUGUAAUGAUACAAAGAAAUUAUUUCGCUGACCUUUCCGAAGACUAUAUAUGUGCAUAUGUGUGUGUGUCGUAACAGUCCAACUUUUUUUUUACUGUGUACUUCACCCUUUCCAUGUCCUCUUCUUAGUCCUUCUGCGCCUGUCAUCCUUUGUUUCGUGUUGGGGAAGAGAAAAAAAAUUAAACACAAAUUUCCGUAAGUUGUAACGACCUCUGAGAAAAACCAGACGUUCAGUUCACGGACUAGUUAAAAAUUCAAAGAGUGUGAAAUUUUUCUGAAGAAGCGCACUUACUGGACACCGGGAAAAAAAAUAUGUGAAUUUAAAGUUCCGUGAUAAUUGCUGGAUUUUGAAAAUUAUUUAGUUUUUAAUAUUGUUACUUUUGUUUUUAUUGUUUUUUUUUUUUCAUUUAAAAAAUAUUCUAAACAAAGUAUUUGUAAAUAAGUUUUAUCGAAUGUCGGACAUUGAAAUCACCAAAAUGUGUUCUGUUUGUUCCCAACUUCGUAUCUGGUUCAAUCAUAUACUUAAUCGUUUUUUCUUCGUAAUGAAUUGCAAGUAUUAUUCAAAGUUACUCUAAUAUCGGAGAGAUAUUAGAUGAAAUCAUGCUUUAAAUGUUAUUGAUCAAGUUGUGCCAAAUAUUAUCUAAACACAUCAAAAAAAACAUUUCACACAAACAUUAUUUGUAGCGAAUGGGAAAAUCUCUAGAGAAAAUUAUAUUGUUCUUAAAUAAAAAUUAGUAAAAUCAAUCAUGGAUAUUUCUUUUAAUUUUUACUAAUUUUUUAAUCUACAAGAAAAUUAUUCCUGUAGUAAUAGAAUUAUGAAUAGCAUUUAUUAAUGUCAGUACUUCGCAAAAUGUUCUCGUGUAUUUAUUAAUUUGGAGGAAUACAAAUUCACUUCAUUAUGUCAUCCCAAUUUAAAGAUCUGGAAAUGCACAUUUAGCUAAACAUACAAUGCACGAGCGAUGAACAUAUACCUUGACUGUAAGUGGAAGUUAUACUUUAAGUGUUAUCUUUCGUUUUUAAUUGAAUUCUAUGUUUUUGUUUUAUUUCUAUAAUACCAUUCAUUGGAUACACCGCAGUUUAUUUUAUAAGUCUGCUUUUCAAGGUUACUGUGCAGAUUCGCUUCAAUGGUUUCUCUCUUUUUCCUGAUUCAUAUUUUUUUGUAAAAAAUAAAUUUACAAAAAUGUUUGCUACCUGUGUUUACAUUUACAUGUUUUAUAUAAUAAGUGCAUUUAAAUGCCAUAUCAAUUAUCUAAGCUUGCAUUUACAUGUUUUAAAUAAUACUUGCAAUUAAGCGUUGUAACUAUUGUUUUAGGAGGGUUUGACGAACAAACAUUUGUAAAAUAUAAAUUUGCCAAAUGGUAUGUCCAUCAGAAUUUACCGGCACUCGGACAUUCGCAGUGAUUGUGUGCCUGGUUUGAUCACGUAUUUUAUGUCCCAUUAAAUGUGAAAUUUUUAUCCCUGAAGUUUGCUGACAAGCUAGUUUAAUGGAAUGCUCCUAUGUAUUUGCGUCAAGUGUCAUGCCUGGUUUAGUUAUGUACUGGAAAGUUACUUUCAUCAACAUCUACAUACAUCGUUCACUUCCACCAAUUUUCUUAACAUAUUUCGAAUAAAAAAAAAAUGGAAUAUUGCAAUGUUAACUACAAAAAUGUUAGUUUAUUCAAGCAAUAUACCUUUGAAAUAAAUAAAAAAAUAACCUUUAACUGUACAAUUUUGGAGCAAAAACAAUAAAAUCAACGUUUAUUUUCAAUGGUGUUAAAUUUUACGCUUAUCACGGUACAUAACUUCUUAGAGUUAUAUUACAGAAAAAAAAUUACUGAAAAUUGUAAAAAUUUGUGAGACUCUUUUGAUAACUCGUAUAAGCUUACGUUAGAAAAUUUCAGUGUUUAUUACUCAGAAUAACAUAAGUAAUGCUUUCCAUUCUUUACAUGAAAAGUUUUCAGUCAUAAAAUGUCGUGAUGAAUUUAUACUUCUAUCGUCAUGCUAUUAACGCUACAGAAAAUACUUAAGAGCAUUUCUCUAGUCUCAUUUUUCGAGCAGCUUAAAAAAAUACAUUCCUUGUGUUGUUAAUUUUUGUUUUUACAUUAUUUUGGACAAGAUUUUGGUAAUAAGGGUUUGAGCCAUAUUUAACAUGUUGCCAACAUCGCCAACUAUAAGACUUUUUUAAUGAUUCGAAAAAUCAACAUAAAUGAUCCUAUUAUUUAUAACAAGUAUUGUGGUAAUAAACUUUGUGAAGCAAAUACCUUUUUCUCUGUGUAAUAAAUAGUUGUGACGUGUAUUA